rnacentral:rRNA from 1 species
UACGUAGGGGGCGAGCGUUGUCCGGAAUUACUGGGCGUAAAGAGCUCGUAGGUGGUUUGUCGCGUUGUUCGUGAAAACCGGGGGCUUAACCCUCGGCGUGCGGGCGAUACGGGCAGACUUGAGUACUGCAGGGGAGACUGGAAUUCCUGGUGUAGCGGUGGAAUGCGCAGAUAUCAGGAGGAACACCGGUGGCGAAGGCGGGUCUCUGGGCAGUAACUGACGCUGAGGAGCGAAAGCGUGGGGAGCAAACAGG